rnacentral:rRNA from 1 species
ACGUAGGGUGCAAGCGUUAAUCGGAAUUACUGGGCGUAAAGCGUGCGCAGGCGGUUAUGUAAGACAGAUGUGAAAUGCCCGGGCUUAACCUGGGAACUGCAUUUGUGACUGCAUGGCUAGAAUCUGGCAGAGGGGGGUAGAAUUCCACGUGUAGCAGUGAAAUGCGUAGAUAUGUGGAGGAAUACCGAUGGCGAAGGCAGCCCCCUGGGCUAAGAUUGACGCUCAUGCACGAAAGCGUGGGGAGCAAACAGGAUUAGAUACCCUGGUAGUCCACGCCCUAAACGAUGUCUACUAGUUGUCGGGUCUUAAUUGACUUGGUAACGCAGCUAACGCGUGAAGUAGACCGCCUGGGGAGUACGGUCGCAAGAUUA